ensembl:lncRNA
CGCCGUCAGCACAACAAACGCACAACACAAGGAGAAACUUGGUGUCCAGGGGAGGCCCCCGGCGGCUGGAGCGCGGCGGCAGCGGGCGCAGAGGCCGGAGGGAGAGGAGGCGAGGGGCGGCCCGAGCGCGGGGCGGGAGCGAGGCCAGCGGUCAUGUGCCCGUGCCCCCUGCACCGCGGCCGCGGCCCCCCGGCCGUGUGCGCCUGCAGCGCGGGUCGCUUGGGGCUGCGCUCGUCCGCAGCGCAGCUCACCGCCGCCCGGCUCAAGGCGCUCGGCGACGAGCUGCACCAGCGCACCAUGUGGCGGCGCCGCGCGCGGAGCCGGAGGGCGCCGGCGCCCGGCGCGCUCCCCACCUACUGGCCCUGGCUGUGCGCGGCCGCGCAGGUGGCGGCGCUGGCGGCCUGGCUGCUCGGCAGGCGGAACUUGUAGGAACGCGGGGCUUCUUGGUGGGGCCGGAGCCGAGACCCAGCCGGAGCAAGCAACAGGUUGGUGAAAACCCUGUGUCCUUGGAGAAAGCUGGUUCCCGUUUUCCAGAGGGGGAGCCCAGAGCUUGAAAGGCCACGGUUGGCACUUCGAGAAGGAAGUGGAGAGUAAAGACAGCGCCUGGAGCGAUCGUAGAAACACAGAAUGGGACUGGGGAAGCCCUUUGGAAAUCCAGCUGCAGAAACAGACACCCCAAUGCUAUUUACAUACAGCUCUAUAUAUAUAUAAAAAAUAUGAAUAUUACGUAUCAGUGCAUGCCUUGUCAAGGACGUGGUUGCCUUCCUUUUCUGCACCUUGCGAUGUGAACUUUGAUAUUCUGUAAUGUCUGGGGCGCCAGAAGAGAGAUGCCUGCUGUGUACUUAGAAACUGUUUGCAAAGACUGGUGGGAAUUAGCCCUAGCAUCGGCCAACUGCCUGGGGAUAGAUGCUGGUGGAAUAAGAGGUAACAGUGCAAAAGGCAUGAUAGGAAAAAAAAAAAAAAAGGAUACCACACACUGCCAUUUUCAAAGCCGAGGUGGCGAGGUGUCAGGCUGCAGAUUCGGACAGUCAUUCUCCAAGGCUCCAUUUGCAAGUCACCACCUGGUACCUAUAGACAGAGGGUCCAGCAGGCUGGUUAGCAGACACCGCUCCAGUUCUAAGAAGCCAGCAGUGGGAUCCACGUUUGUUAAGGUGGAUGCGGCUGAAAUGGGAAUUAUCCCCCCAUAGGCUUUGCUGUAAAUGACCAGGUCUUUUAGAAUGUACAGCCUCUCAGUGCUGCUGCAAGCUGGGAGCUGGAUUUCUUUCUGUCUUCUUUUUAAAAUCCGUUCCUUGUGUUUUCCUAAAUAGCCCUUUAAAGAGAAAUGUAACCCCAGGGCUGCUGAAUGUGAGGGAAGGCUCCCCCAGCUUUGAACUCAGCAAGGCAAAAAAAAAAAAAAAAAAAAAACAAAAAACAAAAAAACCCGCUUAUUUUGGGGGAACCUGCUUCUCCUCAUUACUCAUGCCCUCCCCCUAGUUGAUGUUUGCAGGGGACCCUCGCUUAGCUGGGGGUUGCAGAGAGCAGCAGGCGAUAUUCCCACCAAGCCACGAACUUGGAGAAGGCAAAUUCAUCAGAAUAAUAUGAAAUACAGUCUCUGCUUCUAUUUAAUCACUUUCUUAGCCACAGACUAGGGUCUUUCCAGCUCACCCCGUUUUCUGGGGAGAGGCUUCCAUUACUACACAGUUGUACCUAAUCACAGUUCUCUGCUUCUUUAAGGCUGUACCUUCAAGGUCGUAGUGGGGGCAUGCUGACCACAUAGACACAGGAGAAGAUGAAAGGUGAGAGGAUCCCUUUUUCAUCCCCGACUUGCCUGCUGGCUUUUGAUGUUUCCCCUAGAGGAUCCAAACUCCAAACGCUGGGGUUGGCAUCUUGGGUGAUUUUGAUUUCAAUGAAGCCACUUUGCUGAGAGAACUGGGGCAUCCAUGACCUCCUGGUAGAGCUUCCCAGCCAAGUCCCUUGUAGAUAUUCUCCUGUUUUAUUAGAGACCAUGUAUUUAUCAAAUCCUGGCCUUUUCUUGCACAUCAUUCUUUGGAGUGCACUUCUCGACUGCCCCGAUUUUUGACAAGGGGUUGUUUUUAAUGCUUGUUUUUAUAUGAGAUUUGACUUCUUGAUGGACAUUUGUAUUAGGAAAUUGAAGCAUGAUAUAUAUGUAUAUAUUGUCUCCACCAUCUCUCCUGUUGUAUUGCUUGG